GAUGAACGCUGGCGGCGUGCCUAAUACAUGCAAGUCGAGCGAACGGACGAGAAGCUUGCUUCUCUGAUGUUAGCGGCGGACGGGUGAGUAACACGUGGAUAACCUACCUAUAAGACUGGGAUAACUUCGGGAAACCGGAGCUAAUACCGGAUAAUAUUUUGAACCGCAUGGUUCAAAAGUGAAAGACGGUCUUGCUGUCACUUAUAGAUGGAUCCGCGCCGCAUUAGCUAGUUGGUAAGGUAACGGCUUACCAAGGCAACGAUGCAUAGCCGACCUGAGAGGGUGAUCGGCCACACUGGAACUGAGACACGGUCCAGACUCCUACGGGAGGCAGCAGUAGGGAAUCUUCCGCAAUGGGCGAAAGCCUGACGGAGCAACGCCGCGUGAGUGAUGAAGGUCUUCGGAUCGUAAAACUCUGUUAUUAGGGAAGAACAUAUGUGUAAUUAACUGUGCACAUCUUGACGGUACCUAAUCAGAAAGCCCCGGCUAACUACGUG
rnacentral:rRNA from 1 species